rnacentral:ncRNA from 2 species
GGGAAACGACAGGGGAGCGCCACCGGGCGCUGAGAGUGCGGACCACCGCAGACCCUCGAACCUGAUCCGGUUAGCACCGGUGGAGGAAGUCGGGCAUCUCGAUCC